rnacentral:rRNA from 1 species
UACGUAGGGUGCGAGCGUUGUCCGGAAUUACUGGGCGUAAAGGGCUCGUAGGUGGCCAACUAAGUCAGACGUGAAAUCCCUCGGCUUAACCGGGGAACUGCGUCUGAUACUGGAUGGCUUGAGAUUGGGAGAGGGAUGCGGAAUUCCAGGUGUAGCGGUGAAAUGCGUAGAUAUCUGGAGGAACACCGGUGGCGAAGGCGGCAUCCUGGACCAACACUGACGCUGAGGGAGCGAAAGCCAGGGGAGCAAACGGG